rnacentral:rRNA from 1 species
UACGAGGGGUGCAAGCGUUGCUCGGAAUUAUUGGGCGUAAAGGGUAGGUAGGUGGUCUCAUUUGUCUGGGGUGAAAGCCUUGAGCUUAACUCAAGAAGUGCCCCGGAAACGGUGAGACUGGAGUCCUGGAGAGGGUCGUGGAAUUCCCGGUGUAGCGGUGAAAUGCGUAGAGAUCGGGAGGAACACCAGAGGCGAAGGCGGCGACCUGGACAGGCACUGACACUCAACUACGAAAGCGUGGGGGAGCAAACAGG